rnacentral:lncRNA from 1 species
GUCGGCCAGAGGGAGACGAUCAUCGGCUCCCAGCUGUGGUGGAAUUGGGAGCUCGACGCCGAUCGGUACCCCCGCUGGCCACAACUGGUGGAUGAUCUCCAAGCUCACGGCAUCCGGGUGAUGGCCUACUGCAAUCCCUGCAUCGCCCCUGUAAGAUCAAGAUCACAAAUCACGAACAAAGAAAGAAUUAAAAAAAGACUUGUUUUUACCCAUUUGGAGGAGAACUGGCCAUCAUCUUGCAGACCGACGGGAAGCCCAACCGGAAGAGGAAUCUGUUCAAGGAGGCGGACCAUCUGGAUAUUCUGGUCAAGGACGGGGCCGGGUCGACCUAC